rnacentral:lncRNA from 1 species
CGAUGACAUAUCGGAUUCUACAACAGGGAUCGGGGGAGUGGAAUGUCCACGACGGCCCCCCACCUCUGAAGGCAAAGGGCUUCGACCAACGUCGUUGGCUAACUUGCCAAACUUUUGACUAAGAAAGGGCAAAAUGCCGAGACGACUGUGACGUACCCGCCCGACCAAGGUCUAGGCAAUGGAUAUUCGACUUGCGACAAAUCAAUCCGAUCAUGAUCGAUCGAAGGAUAUUCGACUUGCCACCGUUUAUCGUAUGUCCCAACGUACGCGCCUGACCGAGGGCCAGACG